rnacentral:rRNA from 1 species
GACGAGCGCUGGCGGCGUGCUUAACACAUGCAAGUCGAACGAAGAGCGAUGGAAGCUUGCUUCUAUCAAUCUUAGUGGCGAACGGGUGAGUAACGCGUAAUCAACCUGCCCUUCAGAGGGGGACAACAGUUGGAAACGACUGCUAAUACCGCAUACGAUCCAAUCUCGGCAUCGGGACUGGAUGAAAGGUGGCCUCUAUUUAUAAGCUAUCACUGAAGGAGGGGAUAGCGUCUGAUUAGCUAGUUGGAGGGGUAACGGCCCACCAAGGCGAUGAUCAGUAGCCGGUCUGAGAGGAUGAACGGCCACAUUGGGACUGAGACACGGCCCAGACUCCUACGGGAGGCAGCAGUGGGGAAUCUUCCGCAAUGGACGAAAGUCUGACGGAGCAACGCCGCGUGAGUGAUGACGGCCUUCGGGUUGUAAAGCUCUGUUAAUCGGGACGAAUGGUUCUUGUGCGAAUAGUGCGAGGAUUUGACGGUACCGGAAUAGAAAGCCACGGCUAACUACGUG